rnacentral:rRNA from 1 species
ACGGAAGGCAGCAGUGGGGAAUAUUGCACAAUGGGCGCAGGCCUGAUGCAGCAACGCCGCGUGAGGGAAGACGGUCUUCGGAUUGUAAACCUUUGUCUUUGGUGAAGAAGAAAGUGACGGUAGUCAAGGAGGAAGCCACGGCUAACUACGUGCCAGCAGCCGCGGUAAUACGUAGGUGGCAAGCGUUAUCCGGAUUUACUGGGUGUAAAGGGAGCGCAGGCGGGACAGCAAGUUGGAUGUGAAAUACCGAGGCUUAACCACGGAGCUGCAUCCAAAACUGUUGUUCUUGAGUGAAGUAGAGGUAGGCGGAAUUCCGAGUGUAGCGGUGAAAUGCGUAGAUAUUCGGAGGAACACCAGUGGCGAAGGCGGCCUACUGGGCUUUAACUGACGCUGAGGCUCGAAAGUGUGGGGAGCAAACAGGAUUAGAUACCCUGGUA